AGAUUUGUUCAGGGGCCAAGAGACCCGCAGCCCCGACGGAGGUUCCCCCGCCGCUCACUCCCCUGGGACCACUCACCUUGCUGGGCUCCAGCGUCCUCGAGCAGCAGGAGCAGGACAACCAUUCUACAAGGAGUUGUUGAGCACCUGCUGUCUAUCUACAGAAAUCUUGAAAUGUGGAACAGAGAUGGAAAUAUAGCAUGCAAGUCAGAAUGAAAUUACUUCAUGGAACCGUGAUAUAAUUUGGAUAGUAACAGAUUUUAUAGAUUAAUGAAGCUUCCUGGUCUGAGGCAAGGACAAUUAUUCCCUCACUGUCAACCCUGAUCUCUGGCUGCAGUAAUGAGUAGAGGAAAUGAAGAAAUAAGAAUGGAAGCAUAAUCAUUUGUCCGAGGUCACAGAGGGAGAUGAUUACACAGCUGGAAUCAUUCUCAUAAUCUUAAACUCUGGUGAAAACAGAAAAUUAUUGUCAGUGAACAUCUACUAAAUACAGGUCCUGGACUUUGGUUUCUCUUCUGGUAAAGUGAGAACAGUGUCUCCCAUUAGCCAAAAUAAGCAGAGGUCAGUGAAAUAACAAUGUAACACCAAGACAUGGUGCACUUCUCAGGUGAAAACUUUUAUGUAAGUACCAAGUAUUGAUUUAUUUCUAAAAUACCAUUAUCUUUAUUAGAAACACUCCAGAGGGCAAAAUACUUUCAUUGUUUUGGAAAUUAAACAAAAGUACAAGCAAAUAUUGGCUUAAAAUGUAACUAACUGGACCAUUUUAAAGAUAAUAAUUCAUAUCACUGACAUUCAAAAUAAAACAAUCAUGUAAAAUGAA
ensembl:lncRNA LINC00973 long intergenic non-protein coding RNA 973